GUCUCUCUUAGAUUCAAACUCCGCAACGAACAUGUUCUCCCCCAAUGGACGAAAAACCAAGCCCCUAGGGUUACCCCAUGCUGGAUGUAGGGCGUUGGAAAUAGUCUGGAUGUGGAAUAGAUUUCGUUACAGGACCUUGCCCGCCAGUAGCCACUUGGGUACUGCACCGUCGUCCGUGUCAUCGAUCACCAGAGGAGUCACCUCCUCUUCAAAGAUGUCGAGCUUGCCGAGCGCUUCUUCCAUCUGCGCCCGAGCCGAGCGCAAUGAGAGAGCGCCGCUUCCUUGCUUCCCCUUGCCCGCACCUGAUGUCGCCAUUGUCGCCGGGAACACGUGCACACCCCGCCGAUGAUAUUUGCGGGCGUCGUCAGAGUCGCCUAGCCCUAGUCGUCGCAAGGGUUUUAGGGUUUCGGGUGUAUACACGGUACUAGGACAAUAUAGCCAUCACACUAAGCUAAUCAGUUACUUCCUGAACUUAAUUCAGUCUAUAUAAUUAUAACCAAGCCUAUGUACAAAGCUUAAAUCUAACAUUUUUAAGAAGUUGCUCCCCACUUCUACCUAUUCUCUCGUCAUGCACACUGUUCACAUCAGCUUUUUGCCACAUCAUCUUUCAGUUUGCAAAAUCAGCCAAUCAGUCUUAUUCCCCCUGCGGGUCAUGCGUUGAAUAAAAAAACUGUUUUUCCCCUCUGUUUUUUCCCUCUACCUACCUCUGAAAAAGCCCAUCUUCUCCACGAAAGUUUCUUGAUUCCCCUGUGCCUCUUCACCUAUCUCAGCGCCUUCUCCCUUUCCCGGAUAUUUAUUCUUGAGGCCCCUACACCCCUUCCCACAACCUCGCGCUCUUCCUCUUCCAUAGUUCCACCAAGAUCAAACGCCUGACGUGAACAGCCAUAUGCCAGCCCGCAGAUCUCUCCUUUUUGGAUGGCGCGCGCAGAUCUCUCCUUUUUUUGCAGCGUGCAGAUCUCUCCCGUCGAUGGUGGUUCGUACUUCACUGAAGAGUUUGUCGUUCCCUUUAGCCAUCUCCGGCGAUUCUCACCAUGGAAGCCAAUUCUGCUUGCCUAGCUCCGUACAAGAUCUUCUUUCCCUCACAGAUAGCAAAUUGGUAAUUGUAAAAAAAUAGGGAUGAGAUGUUUCUACUGAAGUAUUUUCAGGCACCUAUGCAGCUACAGGUUUAUAAUCCAGAUUAUGUAUGUUUGAUAUGCUUCUUCAAAACUGUAAUUUUCAUUUUGCAAAUUAAUUACCAAAUUAAUCAGUAGCACAAGUAGUUCGAUGCCAAAAUCUGUCUGAGCACUUUUAUACGUCUUUCUAUGGAAUUUUGACAGGAUUAAUAUAAAUACUUUUGCCUCUUGAUAACUCUCUUGGAUCAUCACAUUCGUUCUUAACUUCUUAUGAUGACCAAUAACAUAUUACUCGCAGAAGUUUCUCAUAGUACAAAACAAUCUUGGAUUACUACACCCCAUGAAGGAUCACUAUGAUAGUACCUUACAUCCUCAUAGUUCAUGAGCUGGCCACAACUGCUAUGAAAGAACCGUGGCAUCUGAUUUGUGUAUUCCAUGCAUGGUAUUGUUACGGGUGCUUAGGUAGUUGGUAGUUUCUACUCGCCAAAAUUGAAAAGUAUGAUGUUCUGUACUCGGCCUGAUGUUAGUAGAAAAUAACAAGACAUGCAUUCUGAGGUCCUAAUAAUGUUUGUGACCCUUGAACCUAAAUAUUUUGCUUCCUCUUAAGAUUUUCGGUGCGCAUUAUAGUUAUUUCCUAUAAAUUCCCGCUGCAACGCGCAGGGUGUCAUCUAGUUACAUCAAAUCAGACACCUUGAAAGAAUGAUAUACAUACAUCUUGUGAUAUUCAGAAGACCAUCUACCCCGUUCAGAACCGCAUAAAUUCCUGGCUACGCAUGCACAACGUAUCCCUGUUAAUUUAUACUCCGUGGAUGCGUAGCUUGCUACCGCUAAGCUAGUCAUCAAUAUCUUCGAAUGUAGCGGUCGUCUCGCGGCCGAGGUACCGCUUGAGCCGGUCCAGGUCGUUCGCGGCGUCCAGCAUAGACGGC